AGCGAACGCUGGCGGCAGGCUUAACACAUGCAAGUCGAGCGGGCAUCUUCGGAUGUCAGCGGCAGACGGGUGAGUAACACGUGGGAACGUACCCUUCGGUUCGGAACAACUCUGGGAAACUGGAGCUAAUACCGGAUACGCCCUUAUGGGGAAAGGUUUACUGCCGAAGGAUCGGCCCGCGUCUGAUUAGCUAGUUGGUGGGGUAACGGCCUACCAAGGCGACGAUCAGUAGCUGGUCUGAGAGGAUGAUCAGCCACACUGGGACUGAGACACGGCCCAGACUCCUACGGGAGGCAGCAGUGGGGAAUAUUGGACAAUGGGCGCAAGCCUGAUCCAGCCAUGCCGCGUGAGUGAUGAAGGCCUUAGGGUUGUAAAGCUCUUUUGUCCGGGACGAUAAUGACGGUAUCGGAAGAAUAAGCCCCGGCUAACUUCGUG
rnacentral:rRNA from 1 species